UACAGAGGUCCCGAGCGUUGUUCGGAUUCAUUGGGCGUAAAGGGUGCGUAGGCGGCGGGGCAAGUCUGAUGUGAAAUCCUGGGGCUCAACCCCGGAACUGCAUUGGAUACUGCCAUGCUAGAGUACUGGAGAGGAGAUUGGAAUUUACGGUGUAGCAGUGAAAUGCGUAGAUAUCGUAAGGAAGACCAGUGGCGAAGGCGAAUCUCUGGACAGUUACUGACGCUGAGGCACGAAGGCCAGGGAGCAAACGGG
rnacentral:rRNA from 1 species